UCUACCAGUGCCCCUGUAAUCCCAGCCACAAAUCAGUUGGUGAAACGCCCAUCAUGCCAAGGUUGCCAGUGUCCUGAGAGGGAGACACAGACAGUGAAUGGAAUAAAGCCUAGUCCAAAAGAAGCUCAAUUCGUACCUGCGCGGAGAACAGCAAGAGCCCAAGACAUGUUUCUUAAAGAGAUGGGUGGAUGAAGUUCCUCCUCAGUGGGUACAGACUCCAAGACCAUCAGGUCGACUUCUGACAAUCCUGUAAGACUCCAACCCCGUCCAGCCCGAUGCAAGCUUCAAAGCCCAGCAGAGACCACAGCAUGUCUGCUCUCCAGCUGGGCGGGUUUGAGAGCAGAGCCUAGACCCACCCUCCUAUCUUCACAAAGAGAGCUCCGGGUGCUGGGAGAGCCACUGGGAUGGCUGCUGCAGCUGCAGGAAGACCUGUUUUACUGAGCACUUACUAUGGACCCGACAACUCUUAGGGGGCAGGAGCUAUGAAGGUCCCCCCCUACCAUGCUGCUGAUGGAAAAUCUGAGGCUCAGAGAGGUCAAGUGAUGCACCCUAAGUCACUCAGCUGUGAAGGGGUAAAGUCAGGAUGGAAUCCUCCCUCACACAGAGGGAUAGCAGGUGAGCUAUGUUCUCGGCCUCGGCAGGAGUUUUACCCCGGGACAUCGAUAGUGUAGAGCAGGAAAUCAGAGAGAAGCUUCAUCAUCUCAGGCAGCAAAAUGAACUGCUUCUAAGCACCCGCUCCUGCUGAGGCCCAUCUACAAAGCCCGUCACAAAUGGCACAGCUCAGAGUAAAAUAAGUCCUCCCAGGGACAUCAAAGGAGCCACUAUGCACAAGGCACACGGCCCCGGCUCCCAGAGAAGUGGGUGGUGUCCUCUGGGGUCACCCCCCCACACACACACUCUCUGCUGUCCACACUGGAAGGACCUGUCCUUUCUCACAAGCAGCCGCCCAGACACUCUUUGGCCAGCCUGUGUUAAAACUGCCUGAACUGGUGGCCAGCACUUACCACCAGGUAGAUUUCUCAUGCAACCUUGGGAUUCACUUAAAAAAAUAAACCAAGAUGGUGGCUU